GUCCUUCCAAAGUACGUAUAGUACUAAAGCUGGAAUGAUAGAGAAGAUUAGCAUGGCCUCUGCAAAAGGAUGACGUGCAGAAAUUGUGAAGCGUCCCAUGUUUUU
rnacentral:snRNA from 1 species